rnacentral:rRNA from 1 species
GACGAACGCUGGCGGCGCGCUUAACACAUGCAAGUCGUACGGGUUUCGGGCUUCGGCCCGGAGCCAGUGGCGAACGGGUGCGUAACACGUGAGCAACCUGCCCAUGCAUGGGGGAUAACCCGGGGAAACCCGGGCUAAUACCGCAUACGUUCUCCGGGGUGCAUGCCCUGGAGAGGAAAGCUCCUGCAAGGGAGCGUGCGUGGAGGGGCUCGCGGCGUAUCAGGUAGCUGGUGAGGUAACGGCUCACCAGGCCGACGACGCGUAGCCGAUCUGAGAGGAUGAUCGGCCACAUGGGGACUGAGACACGGCCCAGACUCCUACGGGAGGCAGCAGUGGGGAAUUUUGGACAAUGGGCGCAAGCCUGAUCCAGCCAUGCCGCGUGCGGGAAGAAGGCCUUCGGGUUGUAAACCGCUUUUGUCAGGGAAGAAACGGUCUGCGUUAAUACCGCGGACUAAUGACGGUACCUGAAGAAUAAGCACCGGCUAACUACGUGCCAGCAGCCGCAGUAAUAC